CAAUGAAGGAAGCAUGGUAAUGUGUACAUAAAUUAAUUUGGAUCUCUAAGCCUAUCAUCUCUGGUGCCAUUUGACUUUGAUUUGAAGGCAUUGUUCUGCAGCAAAAAA